rnacentral:rRNA from 1 species
UACGUAGGGUGCAAGCGUUGUCCGGAAUUAUUGGGCGUAAAGAGCUCGUAGGCGGUCUGUCGCGUCGGCUGUGAAAUCCCGAGGCUCAACCUCGGGUCUGCAGUCGAUACGGGCAGGCUCGAGUUCGGUAGGGGAGACUGGAAUUCCUGGUGUAGCGGUGAAAUGCGCAGAUAUCAGGAGGAACACCGGUGGCGAAGGCGGGUCUCUGGGCCGAUACUGACGCUGAGGAGCGAAAGCGUGGGGAGCGAACAGG